CUAUUAGGUGUCUUGAGUUAUUUACUUUUGCAUAUGCAUGUUUAAGGAGAUCGUUGUCGCUCCCGGUCAUUGGUGGAUUCAGAAUUUAAACUUUAUGUGUUCAACUUAAUUUUAAGAUUUUUAGCAUUAAACACAUUGUACUUUUAAAGUUAUAUAUUCAUGUCUACUGUUUAUUUCAAUUUUAAUGGAUGUUUAUACAUAAGUUUAUGUCUCGCGUCAAAGUCCUCAGUUCAUAUGAAUCCAUUACUAUUAUGUUGCAUCAGCCGCUAUUCCCAGCUGAUCAUUCUAAUAAAGAUACAUAGCCGUACUUUUCUCAGCUGUUUAAUGGCAAAUUUAUGUUUUCUGUUCUUUUUCAUUUUUUUUUAUAGCAAUGUUCCUCAGGGAAAAUGUCAAAGUAAGUGAAGAAGGGUCAAAGUAAGUGAAGUGGAAACACAGGGACCAAAGUGUAAUUACUGGAAGAUUCAAAAGUUAGUUAUGAAGUCCCAAAGUUAGUUACUAGCUUAGAGAAAUAAACGAGUAGUUAGCAGAUUAAUGAGUGAGCUUAGUAACUUCAUUACUUGUAUAUAUACAUGAUUGUACAUUAGAUUGAGAAUCAUCUUUUACAAUAAUCAAUAAAAGAAGUGAAUAUAUCUUCUCUCUAAAACUACUAUCUUCUCCCUUUUCUUGUGUUCUUGAAUGUUGUUAGUUCUUUUCUUCCUACUCUAAUUCUGUCAAUCUCUGAAUUCUUCAUGGUAUCAGAGCAGUGAGUACACUACUCAUUUGUUCGAUCUUGCUUCCGCAUUCUUGUUCAAAAACUGCAGUUCAUAAGCAUAGUUCUGCGAGUAUAUAUUUUCAAGAAUAUCAAGUAUAUUACGAUAUCAGUUCUGAAAACUGCUAGUCAAAGAUGUCUGAAACGAAUGGAACAACUCCAGUGCAGACCAAUGGAAACUCUUCGAGUGGAAUUCCUCAGACUACAAAUGAACUCAACAACAAUGGUGUUCAAUCAGUUUCAAAUGGAUCAGGAGCAAUUCUUGAUCACAACCACCCUUUUUACCUUCAAUCCUCUGAUGUAAGUGGAAUUUCUCUCAUUUCUCUUCAAUUAACUGGUGAAAACUAUUCUUUAUGGAGUCAGUCAAUGAGGCUAGCCUUACUAGGAAGAAAUAAAUUUGUCUUGGUGAAUGGUUCCUGUAAGAGAGAAAACUAUAGAGAGGAGUUGUGGGAUCAAUGGGAUGAGAUGAAUGUCAUUGUGCAGUCUUGGAUAAUGAACACUGUUUCAAGUAGUAUAUUGAGUGGUAUGGUGUAUGCUGAGACUGCUUAUGAGGUGUGGGAGGACCUAAAAGAAAGGUUUGCUAUGGUAGAUGGUUCAAGAACUUAUAACCUACAUAGAGAAAUAGCUACCUUAAGUCAAGGUUCCUCUACUGUGUCUGAAUAUUACACAAGACUUAAGAAUUUGUGGGUAGAAUUUCAGUCUUUGGUUCCUGCACCUGGGUGUAACUGUGAAAAAUCCAAAGAUUUUGUAGAAUAUCUGCAGAUACAGAAACUAUAUCAAUUCUUGAUGGGUUUAAAUGAGAAUUAUAUGUAAGCAAGAAGUCAAAUCCUCUUAAUGUCACCCCUGCCAUCUGUGAACAAAGCUUACUCUAUGAUUACUGGUGAUGAAAAUCAGAAAAGUGUAUCUGCAAGGUCUGCAGGGUUGUUGGGUUCAGUACCAAGUGGCUUGAGCCAUAAUCAAAGUGGUAGUACAAGUCAUGACCCUACAAAGAAUGUAUUCCAAAGCAGGCCCUCAAAAGUUCAAGAAAAACCUUAAUCUGUACUGUAAAGUCUGUAAGCUCAAAGGGCAUACCAAAGAAUUUUGCUAUAGGGUGGUUGGAUAUCCACCUGGUUUCAAGUCAAAGAGGAGAGAACAUGCUACAUAUAAUGUGUAUACUGAGGGUCUAUAUCAACAAAACAGUACACCAGGGCACAGGUUCAAUGAGACAUAUGAUGGUGCUGUAAGGAGUGGAUCAACAAAGUUGACUGGUAAUCUCAGUCAAGUAAAGAUUGGGGGUUCUCCAAUCUUCUCAAAAGGACAGUAUGAGCAAAUAGUCCAACUACUGAAUGCAAACAUGAGUCAUCAUCAAACAACUGGAAACCAGGCCCAAACUCAGAAUCAAAGUGCCUCUGCCAAUGCUGCAGGAUCUCUACAAUGGGAGGGUGAAGGAGAUUGGUAGAGUACAAGAUGGAUUGUAUAUACUGCUGAAUAAGUCAAAUGCUGAACUAGCUGAUAACCAACUAAAGCUCAGUCUGACAGCCAAGAAGGAUACCUCAGUCAAUGAAGAAGAAAUAAACUUGUGGCAUAUGAGACUUGGACAUACUUCUAGUAGUACCUUGAGUAAAUUGAUUUCUGCUAAGUCUGAUGUAAUAAUAGAUACACUUCAUAAAUGUAAUGUUUGUCCUUGUGCAAAACAAACAGAGACUGCCUUUUCCUACUAGUUGCAUUAAGAGUAAAGACAGUUUUGAUCUCAUUCUAACAGAUGUAUGGGGGCCAUAUA